UGACUCAAGGCGGAAGCUUCCAGACGAAGAUAACUACAAACAACGCUAUCAGCAAAAUACCUGUCCAAUUUGUUCUACAGGUGGAUCCUGCGGUGCCAUCCUGCACAGAGGGACUCUAUCUGCCAGCGUUCCUGCCUCCAACACCGGCCAACAGAGCUCGACUUUACACCCCCGUCAAUCAGACCCUUGACAUCAGCAUUAAAGCAGCUGCAACUUUCUCCACGGUCUCUGAGCUGCUGUUCAGCGGGCCGCACAACGUGAACCAGACCAGAUCAGGACCAGGUCAGUUUACCCUGAGCUGGACGCCGUCUCAGAGCGAGGAGGGAGAGAGCCAACCCAUUUGCUUCAUUGUCCAAGCAC